UUUUUUACAAAUAAUUUAAAAUAAAACCUGCUCAAUGAAUAUUUAAAUAGCCGCAGUAAUUUAACUGUGCUAAGGUAGCAUAAUCAUUAGUCUCUUAAUUAGGGACCAGAAUGAACGGUUUAACAUUCUUUUCACUUUUUUAAAUAUAUUUAUAUAAAUUAUACUAAAUAUAAAAAUAUAUUUAUUUAAAAACUAGACGACAAGACCCUUUCAAACUUUACUUAAGUUAAGCUGGGGAAGCUAUUUAAUUAAAAUCUUAAAAAAUUAAUAAAUAAACAGACCUAGAAAAACUAAUUUUUUGAAAAAGUUACUGAAGGGAUAACAGCAUAAUAUAUUUAUAUAGCUCGUAUUUAAAAAUUAGUUUAUGACCUCGAUGUUGAAUUAUUUUACUUUUAAGCGCAAGAGCCUAAAAAGUGGGUCUGUUCGACCUUUAAAUAUUU
rnacentral:rRNA from 1 species